AAGUGAUUAACAAGAGAGCGGCUAGGUAACAUAUGGUAGCCGUGAUCCCGAGUACGAAAGCGUGUAAAUUCUCCGUAAGAGGCAGGAAAACGUAACACGCCAGGAGCGCGUGAGUCGCGUACGCAGUAAACAUACAUUGAGACACAAAUGAAGAGAGACCACAGUAAAAUUCCAGUCCUGGAAAAAUACAAGAAAGAUCCUUCGAUGUUACCUACGCUCGGACCGAUAUGGAAUCACAUGUAACUGCGUCACAGAAGAAACACAGCAUCGCGAGAUACUAACUUAAAAAGGUGUUUAAAAAUCUAUAGCAAACACAAGUAACAAUAUUACAAACUAAAGAUACUAAAGAUAAAUAAUAAACUAUCGGAAUUUUAUUAACCAUCUCUAAAAUAAAUCACUAUAUAAAAUCACACCUCUUUGUCAAAAUGGUACUUCCUCUUCCUUCUGUUUUAUCAAACAAGACAAUAUCUUAAAUCAAUUCUAAACUUUCUCAACUUGUAAUUUUAUAUUCCAAGAACUUGAUAUAUAUAAAUAGUGGUUUCACGCGACACGAUUAAACAGUAUAUAUCCUUUUAUGAAGAAUAACUAUUAUUCGAUAUCGAACGGAAACCACAAUAGCCACAGUAGCCACAAUUUCAUUGAUGGAAGAGUCAAAAAACUCGACGUUACCAACGUGCGCGUAUCUCCGACAGUCACCGGCUGUCUGAUGUAAAAUCACGGUAGCUGACGUGAAUUAUGCGGCUCGUAAAGCACGA